GCUUUCUCAUCUGGCUUCCGUCUCUCUGCAGAUAUAUUGGAAUUCCGGGCCCUUCUGCUGGAUUCCAUCAUCUUGAAACUUGAGUCAGGUAUAGACACUCCACCUGCCAACUGCUGUGGCAGAGCAGGUAACUGAGGUACAGAGUUUCUACAUGACAUGGUUCAUCUGGAAGUAGGAGUGGUUCCAUUUCAUCUUACAUGCUGCUUGGGGCUGUGUCUGUGGCUGUGAAACUCAAGACUGCCCUGAAACUCAAGACUGGCCCUUAGUCACCUUUGUGUGCCCUCCAUCUGAUAUAAAAUAA
rnacentral:lncRNA from 1 species